AUUGAACGCUGGCGGCAGGCCUAACACAUGCAGGUCGAGCGGAGCGGCGGAAGGGUGAGUAAUGCCUAGGAAUUUGCCUGGUGGUGGGGGAUAAAGUCCGGAAAGGGGCGCUAAUACAGCAUACUAUCAGGUGGCCCUCGGUCGGAUUUGCUAGUGGGUGGGGUAAUGGCCUACCAAGGCGACGAUCCGUAACUGGUCUGAGAGGAUGAUCAGUAACACUGGAACUGAGACACGGUCCAGACUCCUACGGGAGGCAGCAGUGGGGAAUAUUGGACAAUGGGCGAAAGCCUGAUCCAGCAAUGCCGCGUGAGUGAAGAAGGUCUUCGGAUUGUAAAGCACUGUAGGUUGGGAGGCGUUACCAACAGAAUAAGCACCGGCUAACUUCGUGCCAGCAGCCGCGGUAAUUC
rnacentral:rRNA from 1 species